UUCUCUCUAGACUCUAGGGAAUAGAAAUUGGGAGUGAGAAGAGACUGGGACUCUAGGCAAGUUAGGACGGCUAGAGUUAUUGGGAAAGCACCGUAGAGAAGAGUCUCCAAGAUCCCAAGAGAAUUUCUUGAAUGUUCAGGUAAAUACCAGUCAUUUGUGUAAGGACAGUACCCGCAUGCAGGAGGGAAGGCUCAUGACCAGAGCAAACAACCUUUGUAGGACACGUGAGGGCUGUCUGAAUGCCUGCUCUCUGCAGUCAGAGGUGAACGCCUCUUCAGAAGAUGACAAGGCAACAGAGACAUCUUGCCUCAGUGUUAUGCUUCACCCCAGAACAAAUAUUGGUUUGGUUCUUAUAAUAUUGCUUAACAGCAAAAUAUCAUCGAAAGAGUGAUAAGAAGAAAAUUGUAUGUUAAUCAAAGGGAAAAGGUGUUGAUAUAAAGAAAAAAAGAUGAGAAUCGGUUUCUUAUCAGGAGCAAUGUGAGCUACAGGACAUAAUAAUUACAUACUAAAAGUACUAAAAUAAUCCCCCAACAACUUGGAGUACUUUAAUCACUGAAAAUAGUCCUCAAAAGCCAAAAUGAAUGAGGACUUUAGACAUUCUUUAAAAGGUGGAACAAAUUCACCACCAGCAGAUGCACACUAAAAGAAAUGGUGGAGGAAGUCUCUUAGCAAAAUUAACAAUGAUUAAUAUUUUAUUAAUAAUACUUUAAUAACUAAUAAAUAUUAAUAAUAACAAUGCUAAAUGGAUUCAAAAAUUUAUAUAAAGAAAUGGAAACCAGAAUGAUAUAAAGAAAUGUGAGCAGAAAUGGCCACCAGAAGGAUGAACAAAAAGAGGUCUUUAUUCAGCCAUCCUUAAAAAGCAAUGAUGAUAACUAACUUUUUUGAGGCAGUAUCUUUGGGGGGAUGAAGAGAGGUGAAUAAAUGUGUGUCUCUCUCUUUGUCUCUGUGUGUGUGCAAGCGUGUACUUACCAUAGAGUUCAGUAGGUAAAUAGGGUAUUUGCACCAAGCCUGAAAACCUGAGUUUAAUCCCAAGACUCACACAGUAGAUAGAGAGAACUGAAUUCUGCAAGUUGUCCUCUGACCUCUACACACAAGCCACAGCACGCACACACACAAAAUAAAUAGAUAAAUAGGUAAAUUCAGUUUUAAAACAUAAUGAAAUUGUUAUUCUAAAAGACAGGUCAGAAAGAGAAAGGGGAAAAUACAUGAAUCAAACAAACAAGAACGUAUCAUAGUAUUAAGCCAAAUUACUAAUGAUUGCAUUAAAUGGCAAUGGUGUAAUUGCUGUCAUUUGAAAUCCUCAAAAUAC
rnacentral:lncRNA from 1 species